rnacentral:pre_miRNA from 1 species
UCUUAUGGAUGAGCAAAGAAAGAGUUUCUUGAAAUGGAAUCUACUCCUGGUGAAGAUGCUGUGAA